GACGAACGCUGGCGGCGUGCCUAAUACAUGCAAGUCGAACGCAGUGGGGAUGGGUGAGUAACACGUGGGUAACCUCCCAUCAGAGGGGAUAACACUUGGAAACAGGUGCUAAACCUAUACUGAUGGAUGAUCUCGCGGUGCAGUAGCUAGUUGGUGAGGUAACGGAUCACCAAGGCCACGAUGCAUAGCCGACCUGAGAGGGGGAUCGGCCACACUGGGACUGAGACACGGCCCAGAAUCCUACGGGAGGCAGAAGUAGGGAAUCUUCGGCAAUGGACGAAAGUCUGACCGAUCAACGCCGCGUGAGUGAAGAAGGUUUUCGGAUCGUAAAACUCUGUUGUUAGAGAAGCGGUAUCUGACCAGAAAGCCACGGCUAACUACGUGCCAGCAGCCGCGGUAAGUC
rnacentral:rRNA from 1 species